AUACGGAGGGUGCAAGCGUUGUCCGGAUUUAUUGGGUUUAAAGGGUACGUAGGUGGAUUCUUAAGUCCGUGGUGAAAGCCCGCAGCUCAACUGCGGAACUGCCAUGGAUACUGGGAAUCUUGAAUUCAGUUGAGGUUGGCGGAAUUUAUGGUGUAGCGGUGAAAUGCAUAGAUACCAUAAAGAACACCUAUUGCGAAGGCAGCUAACUGGACUUGAAUUGACACUGAGGUACGAAAGCGUGGGGAGCGAACAGGAUUAGAUACCCUAGUAGUCC
rnacentral:rRNA from 1 species